rnacentral:rRNA from 1 species
AACGCUGGCGGCAGGCUUAACACAUGCUAGUCGAACGACAUAGUGGCAGACGGGUGAGUAACGCGUGGGAACGUGCCUUUCACUACGGAAUAGCUCUUGGAAACGAGUGGUAAUACCGUAUACGCCCUCCGGGGGAAAGAUUUAUCGGUGAAAGAUCGGNCCGCGUUAGAUUAGUUUGUUGGUGGGGUAAUGGCCUACCAAGACUACGAUCUAUAGCUGGUCUGAGAGGAUGAUCAGCCACACUGGGACUGAGACACGGNCCAGACUCCUACGGGAGGCAGCAGUGGGGAAUCUUGCACAAUGGGGGAAACCCUGACGCAGCCAUGCCGUGUGAGUGAAGAAGGCCUUAGGGUUGUAAAGCUCUUUCAGAUGCGAAGAUGAUGACGGUUACAUUAGUAAGAAGCCCCGGCUAAAUUCGUG